CAUUUCAUGUGCAAGUUAGAAGUGUGCUCGGGCGAUCUCUAAAAUUAUUUGAUUUCUCCCUAAUCUGUGCCGGAUUCGAAUACCAAAAACAGUGUUUUGAUCCGGAUUAGUAGCUUUUAAUUAUACCCCACGUGGAAUAUUGGCCGAAGGCAAAUUUGUUACCUAAUUGAAUAUCGAUCGAUCGUAGCCUUUAAAUACUGUGCCCGCCAGCAACAAUAGCACCAACAGAGAGUUGCAUCGGU